rnacentral:lncRNA from 1 species
GAUCAACAUCCCAUAAUCCCGUCAAAUCUUUCUGCACGACUAUGUCAUCAUCAAGGAAAAAUAUCUUAUCCAACUUUGGAUAGACCUGUGGGAGAUAAAAUCUCAAGUGGUUCAGCAUGGAGAGGUACUUGGGGUUACGAUACUUUAGGUUUGAAGAACCCGCAGAGAGAGUGGUGGGGCGGUCAGCUUUGAAAUAAUACUCUUUCAUGGCUGCAGACUCAAGUUGCCGUAAAACAGGACAGUAUGAUGAGUUCAACCACUUAAAUUCAUCUACGUUCUCAACAUGGAUGGUGGCCUUCCCAGGAGGGUUCAGCAAAAACCACAUGUUCAUGGCUCCAAAGUUCAACUUAUCAGUCACAAGAUGGAAAACAUGCUUCUCAGGCUCCUGAAAAGAUUAUGCCAUAGAUAGCUGUUAGAACAAUUAUCACACUUUGCACUUGAUUAAAAAGGAAGACGAAACUACCUUAGCAUUCAUGAUGGUUGAGUUCACAACAGAUGCUGCCAAGACAUUGUCUGAGAAAAGUGCAUAAUGGUAGAGCUCUGGAUUUUCCAAGUUCUCGCUCCUCGGGAACUUCCUUUUCUCCAACGGGAGGAGAUAGUAAUCUAUUGUUAAGCGCAUCGACAAACAAUGAAUGCUGUUUGGAAUUGUCUUCGCAGCCAACUGGCUAAGAAAUGUACUCUGCUUCUUCAAGCUCCUGACUUGUUCAUCUGCUGACUGAAGCAUAGCUCUAAGUCUCUGAGUAACCGCCUUGCAAUCAUACACAUCUUCUCUAGCCUUGGAUAGAAGUUGACCCAUUACUCUGACUUUCUCAGGUGCACUGCAAAGUACAUUAUUUGUCAUGAUAGAGAACAAGAUGAGAUAUAAAAAUAUGACGUGAAAAUAGGCACAAACCUAUGAUGAAGGUCAGAAUCAGCAGUAGCCUCUCCAACAGCCCGCUGGCUUUCCUUGAUCCUGGUUUGCAGCUCUUGAUAAAGAUCAUUCUUGUUCUUUGAUUUAGCAAGCACAGAAUAAACACGUGCCAUAAUAAUCUGGUCUCUCAUCAAUCUAACUGUCAAAUCUGAGUUCUCAUUCUCAUUCUCCUUUCUCCAAAUGCUGUAUUUCCCAAGGACAGCAGAAUCUUUGAUCGAUCAAUAGCAGCAUUCUCCAGCUUAACACGUGCUUCAUCAUCUUUCCUUACAAAUCCAUUGCCCUCUUUUCACGCCUUUUCUCCCUUAGUUUCUUUAGUGACCAAACAGUAUCAAGGGAUGAAUGAUGUCAUAAUGCAUACGAUAGAAACAAAUAACAAUGCAUCAAUGUACAUACAAGAAGAUCAGCAUUCUUACCCUUCGAACAUUUUUUGCAGCCGUGUCGACUUGAUGUUCAUCUGCACAGACAAGAAGUUUAUUUUCUUGCAUACCUAAUCAGACGAUGUAAAAAUUUAAAAUGUGCUUUUUUUUAAAAAAAAGCAUGGUUAUUUUUGUACCAGUAUCAUCCUUGAGUGUUUUAUCUGUAGAGCUGUUUGCAGAUUUAACCUUGUCAUCAAUAUCCAAACUCGCAUUGCUCAGGUCAUUGACUAGAUCAUCAGUUUUCCAAGAGGGAGAUGCACGUUUUAUGAAAAAAUCAACACUCAAAGCACCUGCUUCUUGUUGACUAGAAGCUAAAGCAUCAAACAUCUGGAGACCAGAAGGCAUGUAUAAGACUAAAAGAACAGAAAAAUUGAGGAUACUUCUGAACAAGAAGACAGUUUCUUAUGCAAAUAACAGUAGAUGGUAAUUGAAAAAUCAAAAUGUCCGCAACAGAAUUACAGAGCAGAUAGGGGACACAGCAUGCAAAUCUACUUGGAACAACAGAGAGUAGCAUGGUAUUUAGAGAAAAGGCAAUCAGUUGCAAGGACAAAUCAGAGAGGAUGACGUUGCGAAAUUAGUAGCAUAGCAAAGAUGAGCACGUUGUUAUGUACCCUUGUACAUUUCCAUGAAACCAAAAAAGAAAGAUAAGAAAUUAUAUUACUAAGUCGCGAGACAAUUCUGACCUCCUUGGACAAAAUAGAUUUCAGGUUGUUCGUUGGCAGCUGUUUUUGCCAUUCUGUUUCCUGCAAGAAAGCUUUAAUGUGAGAUGGAUCCUCAAAAUUUAGGCUAAGCAAUUAACUAGCUCCCAGAAUGGAAAAAUACCUGAGUACCUUCCAUAUCCAUGGGAUCUGCAGGUAAACAAACUACAACAUCACUUAUCUAUUUCAAAUCAGUAUAACAGUAUUCAAAUACUACAAAACAUUGACAAUGUUCCUACAGUUCUAAUAAAUGUAGUUUUCUUGUUUAUAGGCUUUUGGCACUACAAUUACAUCCACAAUUCACUUGUGCACCCUAGAUUCUUAAUAGCUAGGGCUUUCCCCACAAUGUCACACAUCUAACCUAGCAAAGGCACAAGUGACACUACAAUAGAUAGGAAAAUGGUUUCCAAAAUCACUUGAAUCACAACUUCAACUGUCUGCUGUAAACUCAUGAUUCCUCCAAAGUGCGAUGGAUUAAUUUUUUGUUUCCAAAACAGAGCAUCAUGAUCCAAUUAUCUACGUUUUCUAUCCAAAAUCAUAACCAAGCCUACUAAUACAACUCAUCAAUUGAAUUUAACAAUAGUACCUAAACCACUGACAUCUACUCGGAUUCCAUUCCGAGUAAUAUCCCUCAGACCAACGCUGGGAAACUAACCAAACCUGAACACAUCACUCCCCAGUCCCCACCCCCACCUUAAAAAAAAAAAAACAAUCUAGAUGCUACAUUCGCGACGGAGGAUGCGAUUAACAACCGACAGCGCCGCGCAUCAGGAGGGGGGAGGGGGAUGCAAACCGGAACCUGAGCCGACGUGGCCCCCAUUGCACGCGACGAAGAAGAUCGACGGCGCGAGAACGAAGAGGAACACGACGACCACCAGCGGCGCCACCACGCCGCGCCUCCCUCCUCCGCCGCCGCCGGCCGUGGAGUACGGGAGCCGCUUCGAGUUCGCCAUCUCCAGCGAAGGGUAGGAUCCGCGGGGGUCCACCUCGCCGGAGAGUGCACGUACGUCGCGCGCGGCGCGCUUCCCUCUCCGCCUCCUCCGCCGAGAGUGGGGUGGGGGGAGUGGCGUGGUGAGGGGAAGCCUGGAAAGGAAGGGGAAAGCACCCGAAGAUGUGAGGCAACCGAUGGUGGGCUAUUUGGGCCUUUUUGAAAACCAUCUAGGCUUCUGCCUUGUCUACGGCCCCGUUUAGAUGGGCCAAAUUAAGGCCCACCUAUGUGUAUGGGCUAGUAUGAAACAAAGGUUAAAAAAAAAAGAGGUGGUCUAAAAGUGAAAAUAUUGGUUAAGGGUUCGUGGUGAAACUAGGGUAAAAAUAAUUAGUCCAAUGUUAAAUGAACUCUACUUUAAUUAACUUAUUUGGCCCUAUUUAGCACAACUCCGGAUUUAAGAUUUCCUUUUUUUUAGUUAUGUAUUUUUAGCUCCACAAAUGCAUGAAUCGAAAUCUAAGGUUACAUCAAAAAUAUCUAGAUUAGUCAUUUUGUUCUUAGUUUAGACUAAAUAUAAUAUUUGAAACCAAUACAAUUUAACAUACAUACUUCAAAUCCAACGUAAAAUUGGGAGCUAGAGUUCUGCCAAAUAAAUCCUUUAUUUUGUCAACCAGUUCAUAAAAUCUUUGGUAACCUUAGAGUUUAGGAAUUUAAUAGUAUAGGACCUCCAUUUUGAAAUAUAUGACGCCUUGACCUUUUAAUUUUUGGAUAUAAUGUUUCACAAUUUGUCUUAUUUAGAAUACUAUGCAAGUACUUCUUUUGUUUCAUAUUAUAAGACAUUUUGGGUUUCGAAUAGAUUUAUGCAUGGAUCCAUAUAUGUGCAUCAUAUACGUGUCUAAAUUCAUAUAGAUGUUAGUUAAUCUAGAUGUGGGGUCGAGAGGCCAAAACGUCUUAUAGCAUGAAACAAAGGAGGUAACAUUUAUUUUGUAUUUGAUAUGUUUUAUCAUUAAAGGUACUUUAACAAUUAUUGCAAUAAAUCUUUAAAUAAAAUGAAUUGCUCAACAUCAUGUCUAAAAAUUAAUAGCAUUAUUACAUAUUUAAAAAUAUAGGGAGUAAUGGAUCGGACGAGAUGAGUACAUGUAGUGAGUGGUUCUCCGAUUAGUUUUAGGGCUGGUUUUCAUUACUUUUAUUGCCUGGAUCUCUUUUAAUGAUUUUCAGGCAAUCAAAAAAAUCUACCCCAAAUUACAAAAAUCAAACUUUGAAUUCAAAAAACGCUUUAAAUCUAAAGGAGUACCAAGCAGAUCCAUCUCGGCCACUCAAUAUGUUGGUCCAUAUCAAGCCAGUUAAGUUUCAACUAGAGAGAUAGCAUAGGUUACUUUCAGAAAAAACAAAAGGGGAAAAAACAGAGAGCAUAAGAGUCGUUUUAUAGCAGUAGAAAGAAGCAAGAGUUACACGCAUCAAGGUGGUGUUUGGAUCAGGGACUUUAGUCCUAUAUUUAGACACUAAUUUAGAGUAUAAAAUAUAGACUACUUACAAAACUAAUUCAAUAAAUGAAAGCUAAUUCGCGAGACAAAUUUUUUAAACCUAAUUAAUUGAUAAUUAGAGAAUGUUUACUGUAGCAUCACAUAAGCUAAUCAUGGAUUAAUUAGGCUCAAUAUAUUCGUCUCGUGAAUUAGUCCAAAAUUAUUGAUGAGUUUUUAUUAAUAGUCUACGUUUAAUAUUUAUAAUUAGUGUCCAAACAUCCAAUGUGAUAGGGACUUAAAAACAGGGCCCAAGCACACCAUAGAAAAAAGACGCCCCACAUCACGGUUGCAGACAAAGUUGCAGAUUCCAGCAAUGACGCAAUUAAAACCGAAAAUUAUCUCUCAACCAUCCAUUCGAUCCAUCAACUCAUGCGGUGAUCGAUCGAUCAGCUGGAGAGAAAGUUCCAGUGACAGGUUCAUCAAAAUUAAGCCGGCAGGCAAGCCUGAAAGCUACCGUUAACGCAUUUUAUUUUUUUCAGAACAACUGACACCGGCCGUGUAUUUACUCCACUUAAUAGAAGCACCUCUGAUCAGGCUGGGUGAUCUUCUCCGUCAGCUUUUUACAUCAUAUCUACUCCGCCAAGUUGCAUCCACGGAUGUAAGGGUGAUCAUACUUUAUAUACCUUGUCCAAUAUGGUCUGUACUUGGUCAUUGCUAACUCCAGCCAUGGCUUCAUGUUACCGUUGUAAUGAACAACAGCAGCAUUAUCUAUCUCUGAGCGAUCAAUGCUUGGGUUGUAUCCUAAUCCAAGGACAUGCCACGACUUGUCAAGGGGAUGCGUCAACUUGUAGAAGGUUAAGAGGCCAGGUGGAAGCGUCCCAAGCUUCCAAAGAACCCGGUCUUCAUUCUGUUAGAAGAAAAAUAGCAAGAAUAAUGUUAGACUAAAUCAUGUUGCAUUACAGUUUCUUCUCUAAAUCAAUGUGAUCCAAUAAUGAAAGUAGUAGUCUCACCAUGCUUUGCCACUUGUGGUAGAUCCCAGUGAUAUCUUUCUUCUUCCACUCCUUCAGAUCAAAGAUGUUCAUUCCAUAAGCCCAGCCACAUGCAUUUGGAUCAAAGUUCCGAGCAAUAUGUGGAUUGGAAAAGUUAAGGUACUUGUCAAAACGAUGGAAACUCUCCCCACAGGUCUCCACUGCACCAUUGACCUUCCCAUUAAGAUCAACGUCCCAUAAUCCUGUCAAAUCUUUCUGCACGACUAUGUCAUCAUCAAGGAAAAGUAUCUUAUCCAACUUUGGAUAGACCUGUGGGAGAUAAAAUCUCAAGUGGUUCAGCAUGGAGAGGUACUUGGGGUUACGAUACUUUAGGUUUGAAGAACCCGCAGAGAGAGUGGUGGGGCGGUCAGCCUUGAAAUAAUACUCUUUCAUGGCUGCAGACUCAAGUUGUCGUAAAACAGGACAGUACGAUGAGUUCAACCACUUAAAUUCAUCUACGUUCUCAACAUGGAUGGUGGCCUUCCCAGGUGGGUUCAGCAAAAACCACAUGUUCAUGGCUCCAAAGUUCAACUUAUCAGUCACAAGAUGGAAAACAUGCUUCUCAGGCUCCUGAAAAGGUUAUGCCAUACAUAGUUGUCAGAACACUUAUCACUUAUCACAGUUUGCAUUUGAUUAAAGAGGAAGACAGAAACUACCUUAGCAUUCAUUAUGGUUGAGUUCACAACAACAGAUGCUGCCAAGACAUUGUCUGAGAAAAGUGCAUAGUGGUAGAGCUCUGGAUUUUCCAAGUUCUCGCUCCUCGGGAACUUCCUUUUCUCCAACGGGAGGAGAUAGUAAUCUAUUGUUAAGCGCAUCGACAAACAAUGAAUGCUGUUUGGAAUUGUCUUCGCAGCCAACUGGCUAAGAAAUGUACUCUGCUUCUUCAAGCUCCUGACUUGUUCAUCUGCUGACUGAAGCAUAGCUCUAAGUCUCUGAGUAACCGCCUUGCAAUCAUACACAUCUUCUCUAGCCUUGGAUAGAAGUUGACCCAUUACUCUGACUUUCUCAGGUGCACUGCAAAGUACAUUAUUUGUCACGAUGGAGAACAAGAUAAGAUAUCAGAUAUGAAGUGAAAAUAGAUAAGAUAUCAGAUCACAGAUAUAACACCUAUGAUGAAGGUCAGAAUCAGCAGUAGCCUCUCCAACAGCCCUCUGGCUUUCCUUGAUCCUGGUUUGCAGCUCUUGAUAAAGAUCAUUCUUGUUCUUUGAUUUAGCAAGCACAGAAUAAACACGUGCCAUGAUAAUCUGGUCUCUCAUCAAUCUAACUGUUGAAUCUGAGUUCUCAUUCUCAUUCUCUUUUCUCCAAAUGCUGUAUUUCCCAAGGACAGCAGAAUCUACAGCCUUUGAUCGUUCAAUAGCAGCAUUCUCCAGCUUAACACGUGCUUCAUCAUCUUUCCUUACCAAAUCCAUUGCCCUCUUUUCACGCCUUUUCUCCCUUAGUUUCUUUAGCGACCAAAACAUAUCAAGGGAAGUAUUAGGUCAUAAGAAAUGGAUAUCGAUAGAAACAAACAACAAUGUAUCAAUGUACAUACAAGAAGACCAGCAUGCUUACCCUUCGAGCAUUUUUUGCAGGUGCAUCGACUUGAUGUUCAGCUGCACAGAAAAGAAGUAUAUUUUCUUGAGUACCUAAUCGGAUUGUGUGAAAUGUGCUUUUCAAAAAAAGUCAUGGUUAUUUUUAUACCAGUAUCAUCCUUGGGUGUUUUAUCUGUCAGUGAUAACUCAUGUUCUGCAGAACUGUUUUCAGAUUUAACCUUGUCAUCAACAUCCAAACUAGCAUUGCUCAGGUCAUUGACUAGAUCAUCAGUUUUCCAAGAGGGAGAUGCACGUUUUCUGAAAAAAUCAACACUCAAAGUGCCUGCUUCUUGUUGACUAGAAGCUAAAGCAUCGAUCAUCUGGAGACCAAAAGGUAUGCAUAAGACUAAAAGCACAGAAAAAUCGAGGAUACUUCUGAACAAGAUGACAGUUUCCUAUGCAAAUAACAGUAGAUGGUAAUUGAAAAAUCAAAAUGUUCGCAACAGAAUUACAGAGCAGAUAGAGGACACAGCAUGCAAAUCUACUUGGAACAAUAGAGAGUAGCAUGGUAUUUAGAGAAAGGGCAAUCAGUUGCAAGGACAAAUCAGAGAUCAUGACAUUUCGAAAUUAGUAGCAUAGCAAAGAUGAGCAUGUUGUUAUGUACCCUUGUACAUUUCCAUGAAACCAAAAAAUAAAGAUAAGAAAUUAUAUUACUAAGUCGCAAGACAAUUCUGACCUCCUUGGACAAAAUAGAUUUCAGGUUGUUUGUUGCCAGUUGUUUUUGCCAAUCUGUUUCCUGCAAGCAAGCUUUAAAGUGAGAUGGAUCCUCAAAAUUUAGGCUAGUAAACCAAUUGACUAGCUCCCAGAAAAGAUAAAUACCUGAUUACCUUCCCUAUCCUUGGGAUCUGCAGGUAAACAGAAUACAACAUCACUUACAUAUUUCAAAUCAGUAUAGCAGUAUUCAAAUACUACAAAACAUUGACAAUGUUCCUACAGUUCUUAUAAAUGCAGUUUUCUUGUUUAUGGGCUUUUGGCACUAGAAUUACACCCACAAUUCACUUGUGCGCCCUAGCUUCUUAAUAGCUGGGGCUUUCCGCACAAUGUCACACAUCUAACAUUCUAACCUCGCAAUGGCACAAGUGACACUACAAGAGAGGGGAAAAUGAUUUCCAAAAUCACUUGAAGCACAACUUCAAUUGUCUGCUGUAAACUCAUGAUUUCUCCAAAGUGAGAUUGAUUAUUUGCGUUUCCAAAACAAAGCAUCAUGAUCCAAUUAUCUAUAUACAGAGUUCUCAUCCAAAAUCAUACCAUACCCUGUAAAUACAACUCAUCAAUUGCAUUUAACAACAGUACCACUAAAAUCUACUCGGAUUCCAUUCCGGCAAUAUCCAUGAGACCAACGCUGGGAAAUUUACCAAACCUGAAGACAUCACUCCCAGUCCCCACCCCACCAAAAAAAUAAUAAUAAAAUCUAGAUGCUACAUCAGGGGGGGGGGAGAGGGGGGGUGCAAACCGGAACCUGAGGCGACGUGGACGUGGCCCCCAUUGCGCGCGACGAAGAAGAUCGACGGCGCGAGCACGAAGAGGAACACGAGGACCACCAGCGGCGCCACCACGCCGGAGCCGGAGGCGCCGCCGCGCCUCCCCCCUCCUCCUCCUCCUCCCCCGCCGCCGCCGGCCGUGGAGUACGGGAGCCGCUUCGAGUUCGCCAUCCGCCGGAUCCGGCCGCCGCGGCGGCGAGGGCGACGUUGCCUUCUCCGAGACGAGAGUGGGGUAGGAGGGGAGUGGCGUGGUGAGAGGGGAGGAGGGGAAGCCUGGAACGGGAAGGAGGGGAAAGCAGCCGAAGCAGUCGGUGCUGGGCUAUUUGGGCCUGCAUUGUCUACGGCCUCGUUUGGAAUAGGCCGCGAAUUUCGGCCCAUUUGUGGGCGAGGUAGGCCGUCACGCCGCCGUCGCACUCGCCGAAGCCGCCUGCGUCGCAGCCGUGACACAUUCACACACGCCGCCGGUGCUGUCGCCGUGCGAACCCAUGGCGACUUUGCGUGAACUGAUCGGAGUUCAGCGACUGUGUGGCACUACCACAGUGUACAGGAGUAGCAUAUUUUUAGUGUGUGACACUAUGAAUACUCUUAAUUGCUGUCAAUAUAUCGGCUUUUUUUCUCCUUCUUUUCCUUUUCAAUUUUCGGCAACAAACAAUGGCGCGUGUGGAUGAUGGGUCGGGCUCGACAGGACCAAGGGGAAGAGACAGAGAACAAAAUGGAGAUGAUGGACGAGGAAGAGAGAAGAGGGAGGAUGAUACGUGGGUUCCACUUUUGUUUUGUUUCUUUCUUUUUUGCCACGUAAACGCUAGUCAGCAUGAAUGUAUUAGGUCAACUUGUCACGUCAGCAAAACCGAUCAUCCAUAUAGCCCAAAUACAUAAUUUAAACCGGUUUUGCAUGUUGAGGAUGAGAUUUCUUGUAUUGCGGUAUAGGGAUGUGAUUUAAACUCGAUAGAAAGUGACUUAUUCUGGGUGGGCUGCAAUUUUGAGGCCUAUCUGGACCGUGAUGAGCAUACCUUUCGUUUGGAUCAUGCAUCCGCGUAGUUGAUCAAAUCAUAAACUUUUGGUUAAAAAGAAGUUAGGAGUUUAAUGAUAAUCAGCUGUAUGUGAUAAGCAUCAAACUUGAGGACUCCAUAUAGUGUUAUAAUCCACUUUGGAUUUUAGGUUCUAAUUUUCGAGUUAGUUUUUAGAGUUGUUCUUAGUUAUUUGUUAUUGCCCGGGUUCUUUUUUAGUGAUUCCUAAGAGGACAAGUAAAAAUUCACCUAAAAUGAUUCUUAAGCAUGAAACUAAUUUAAAUUCAAAAACACUUUAUAAAGAAGUACCAAGCAUAUCUAUCUCGGUCAAUCGAUAUUUUUGGUGUAUAACAAAGCUAGUUAAAUGUGAAACCACAGAGCCACCAUAGGUUACUUUCAGAAAAAAGAUGGAAAAAAACAGAGAGCAUAAGAGUCAUUUUAUAGCAGUACUAGAAAGAGGCAAGACCGCAAGAGUUACACGCAUCAUCAAGCACACCAUAGAAAUCAUACACCACAUCACGGUUGCAGACAAAGUUGCAGAUUCCAGCAAUGACGCAAUUAAAACCGAAAGUUAUCUCUCAAACCAUUUCAUUCAGGCCCUAUUUAGAUGGAACUUAAACUUUUAAUUCCAUAUCACAUCGGAUGUUUGGACACUAAUUAUAAAUAUUAAAUGUAGACUAUUAAUAAAACCCAUCCAUAAUCUUGGACUAAUUCACGAGACGAAUCUAUUGAGCAUAAUUAAUCCAUGAUUAGCCUAUGUGAUGCUACAGUAAACAUUCUCUAAUUAUAGAUUAAUUAGGUUUAAAAAAUUUGUCUCAUAAAUUAGCUUUCAUUUAUUGAAUUAGUUUUGUAAGUAGUCUAUAUUUAAUACUUUAAAUUAGUGUCUAAAUAAAAAGACUAAAGUUAAGUUUCUGAUACAAACACCACCUCAAUCCAUCAACUCAUGCGGUGAUCGAUCGAUCAGCUUCAUCAAAAUUAAGCCGGCACGCAAGCCUGAAAGCUACCGUUGACGUAUUUGCUUCAGAGCACACGUAUUUUUUACCCAUGCCAGAUUACCAACCUUGCAACGACUUCUUCAGUUCAGUUCUCCUCAUGUACGUCUCCUGCAGAGUCUGGCAAGAUUCGAGAGCUAUCUUGACAUGUUCUGAAUUCUGAUCGCGACAUGAACACCAUGGUUCGUUCGGUUUUUUCAGGAAAAAGAAUCGCAUGACUCGCCAAGCGCAUAAUUAAACAAUCGUGUUUCAUAAUUAAUCCACACUUAUUAGCUGCUAGUACUAAUUUGCUAUACAAAUCCAGUCAUGUCCUCAUCGACGUAGACUGUAGAAUGUACAAAUGAAACGAGAUCUGUCUUUGUGUGUCGACUUCAUCUAAUAAUUGCCAUUUUUGCAGUAACAUCUACUGCAUCAUCGAUCGUUUCCAUUUGCUUGCCAUCUACUAGUGUUCUUCUAUUUACAAGCUCACCACACUCAUUCCCUAAAGCUAAUCAAAUAUGUGCUAAUUGCAGAGCUGAGCUGAGCUGAGCUAAAUGCCACUACGAAUAAUUAAAGAAUUUAACGCAAAGCACGCAGCGUCAUUUGGCGACAUUGCAUGCGUGUAGGUGUACCAUGGCAACCAAACGAAUUCGCUAAUCUACGAAUCGCGGCGGCGCCGCCGUCACUGCUGCGGCUGGCCGUCGGCGGCGGCGACGUCGUGCUGGUGCGGCCAGGGGAUGAGGCUGUAUGGCGGGAAGCAGCAGUCGCACUGCCCCGGGCACCGCCGCGGCCACUCGCCGGCCGCGGGCAUCUGCUCCGCCGCCGCCUCCUCGGCCGCCGCGGCGGCGACGGCGUCGUCUUCCUCGGGCGGCGCUCCGGCGUCGCGGAGCGGGCCCCAGCACUCGACGCGGUUGAAGCGUGGGAGGUUGGAGUGGAAGUAGACCCACACCGUGGCCUCCUCCAGCUCCGGGUGCCGGCUGAACAGGUUGCCGUCGCCGUGGACGAACGCCUUCAGAACCUGGCCGAACACGCGCCGAGUCAACGGUCAACCAAAGCAAGCGAUUAGGCUCGAAUUAAUCAAUUUCAGGAAGCUGUUCAAAAAUUUCGAUUUUUAUUCUCACAUCUGAACUUCCAAGUCGUGUUUGGCACGUGUCAAGUGGGCAUGCAACUUUGAACACAGUUGAUUAAUUUCACUAGUAUAUAAUAUUCUUAAAAAGUUGAUAAAAUAGAUUAACAUAUAAUAUAUUGCACCACAAACAUAUAAGUUUAAAUUUGACAUUUGACUUAUACAAGUUAUAAUAAAAGUAACAAAUUUAACAGUGAACAUAGUAAACUAAUUAGAGUUUGAUUGGUUAUAUUUAUUACAACUUAUAAAAGUCGAAUUUAAACUUACAUAUUAUAUGUGAAUCUAUAUUAUCAAAUAUUUUAAUUUUUUUUAUAACGAUUUAAUUGAUAUGUAACAGAUGGAUGGAUGCCAAUCUGAGAGAUUAAAAUUGUUUCCCCUACUUGUUGGAGAUCAGUUUUUGGUGCCACUAAUAACAGUGUCUAAAAUCAGAUCUAGAAAGUCAAGGGAUUUGCCUGCUUUAGCAGACAAGAAUUAUUGGAUCCCAUCAAUUAUCUCAGGGACAUUGACACAGAGUACGUCUUGAUUGCAAAAAUGAAAAGAGCAAAGGGGAAAAAAAAAAGGAAAAAAGCUUGUGGUCUCCAAGUCUGAAAGAAGAAGAGAGCAUCAGUAAAGCGAGCGACGAGGAAAGGGGCCACGUACGUACCACGGGGAGCUCCUUGCGGAAGAUGUAGUAGCGGAGGCCGGCGAUGAGGUCGAGGAGGACGUGGCCGCCGGAGAUGUGGCAGUGGACGUGCAGCGACAUGUGGCCCUGCACCUUCUUCCACUCCGCCACCACCUCGUCCCGCUGCAGCUUGUUGUACCACCCCUGCAGCUGCGCCCGGUUGAUGGUGUGCGACACCGCCAGCGUCAGCCUCGCCGUCACGUCGCUGUGCGUCAGCGUGUACGUCCGCGGCAGCUUCCCCGGGUGCUGGUGCUUCUCCUCGUCCACCCCCAGGAACAGCACCUUCAGCUUCGACGCCUCGAAGAUCGCCGGCCCGAACAGCCUCGCCCUCUGCACCACCACAUCCACAUACAUAUUUAAUUUACAUUUCAUUCGGAUUCUUCUUCUCCAACCAUUGAUUCACCGGAGAAGAAAGAGGAUGGUGCAUGUACGUACCGGCACGACGUAGCGGCAGCGGCGGCGGCGGCGAGAGUUGUGGCAGCGGGAGGCGAGGACGACGAGGGAGUCGGCGGCGUGCCACCGCUGCUGCUGGGUGAUGGGAGGAAGCAGGGACAUGGUCGAAGUAGCAGCAGCCAUGUCUGCUCCCUCGGAUCUCUUAGUCCUAGCUAGCCAGCAGUAGUUAACUUUAAGCCUAACAACCAAAACGACUCUUGACAGCUUUAAUUAUAAGCUGGGAUCUCUAUGGAGGCCGGAGAUGCUGGAGGCGCGGCUAAUUAAUCCCUCUCGGCGAAAGCACGAGCCUUGCACGCCUCAACAAAGACACCGGCCGGCCGAUCGAUCGAUCAAAAUUUUGGCUCGGUUUGGUAGCUUCGCGGAUUGGCUUCUCAGUCAGUUCAGCUCGCUGCAGGUUGGUGAUUAUAAGAGAGAGCGGGUUAAGUGAGAAGAAGAGUGUUGUAUUAGUGUUGGUGUGCACGCGUGGUGCGGUGGGGGGUGGAGUGAGGGGUCGGGAAACGUCGCGGUUGUGUGCGCGCGCGGGGAAGCUCGCGUCGUCGCCGCGCCCUCCUCUCGUGUCGUCUCGCGGCGGUGGUGGUGGUGGUGGAAAAACGCCCAGGAAAACGGGGGAAAUUGUGGCGUUCGCGCGUGGGUGGAAACGGGAGGAAUGGAACGCUUGGCCGUGCUGCACGUGGCGUCUCUGCUACAGGAGCGUGGUUUGAUGCAAAUUUGACAUUCGGUUACGGCCUUGUUAGUUCCAAAUAUUUUUUCUUCAAACUUUCAACUUUUUCAUCAUAUCAAAACUUUCCUACGUAUAUAAACUUUUAACUUUUUUUGUCACGUCGUUUCAAUUUUAACCAAACUUCCAAUUUCGAUGUGAACUAAACACAUAUAUACGUAUACGUACCACACACCUACUUAUCUGUAACUAUUUUCCUCUUGAAACGGGCUAAAUAUUGAUCGUAAUUUGCAGAGUUUCUACCGAAAGACAUACAGCAGGAUACUUAAUAUUGGCCCGAAUUAAUCUAGUGGAGACUUGGACUUCAUUUGGUUUUGACCAUGCAAUAUAUGGGGACUGCGUCUGCUUAAUUGGGAUUGUAAUUUUGCGUUACGUACGUUGCACCGCGCAGUGUACUCAACAUUUCAAGUAACUCGUUGACAAAGCAAAUGAUGGAGAUAUUUUUUUUUCCGGGGGAUCUGAGUGGAUCAAACUUCAGAGUGAUCGUUCCAAACACGAUUCCAACUUCUUUUUUUUAUAGAACUAGAUUCCAAGUGUAAUUACAUGGUAGAACUAGAUUCCAAGUGUAAUUACAUGGUGUAAGGCUACUGCACGGCGCUGUUGCUUGCGAGCUAGGCGCAUCCGUGCUUUCUGAAAUGCAUGUAUAUAUGCGCGAGUGAUCAUAUUUUUGACUGAAUCCUCCGCGAUGCGUGCGAGCUGAUCAGCUCGUGCAAGGCAGCUGACACACUCACAUAAGCGAUCGAUGCUAGUUAUGGAAUCUAGCUUAAUUUUUCUCGGUCUAACUGAAGAAGGAGCAUUCGUCACGUUUGGCAAAUACGGCCAUGCGACAUAUAGUUGGAAGACGAAAAUGGGAGACUUGGCUCGUGGUUAUCAUGUUCUAGCCUCACCCGUUCCCACAGCCCACGUGACCAAACAGGAUGAACGAGAGCGCCAAAGCUUCAUCGAUCCGUUUCUUUGCUUCUGUUUUCGAUAUGUAUGCCAUGUUUGUGAAGGUUAACGCUAUGAGAAACAGCUAGCUGGUAACGAGCUUUUAAGAAUCUACAUAAGCUAGACAAAAUCGUAUAUCGAUGGGUCAGCUUAAGAACCCCCAUAUGAAAUGAUCAUAUAUACCUUCAAUCUGGGGACCCAAUCUUAUUAAAAAGGAAAAUUGAAAAUCUUGAGGCCCAACGUGAAUCACAUAUACUGCAGUUAUAACUGUUUCAAAACGCCACAAUGUCUCAAAAAAUCUGUAAAAAUUCUGCUCCGAUACGCCAGGCGGGCUAGCUGCCGGCGGAAGGCUGCAGAAAGUGCAGAUUCGUCAGAGGCGGAGACGUUCAUGCAACUCCGAGCGAGAAUUUGCAGCCCGGCCGUAAAUAAUCUAGAGGUGAAUUCCGUCCGGUAAAUAAUCCACGGUUACGAAUUACCCCUAAACUAUUAUGGACGAUCGAAUUACCCCCUAAACUCGAAUAUCAGAUAUUUUACACCCUUAACUAUACAAACCGGGUAAAUAACCCCCGGCUCAAUCCGGGGUGGUUUCAGUACUACGUGGCAGUCCGAUCAGCAUUUUUUUUUUAAAAAACAGUGUGGGCCCCACCUGUAAGACUCUCCGCUCUCUCUUUCACCUCUAACGUCUCAAUCUCUCUCUACUCUCUCAAUCCCCAUCCCCUCUCUUCCUCCUCCUCCCUCACCUGCUGCAGCGAGCGGCGGCAGCCGGCCGGCGCACGGCGACGCGCCAUCUCUCUCCUCUCUACCCUUGCUGUGGUGGUGGCCGGCUGGCAAGGCGCGAGUCCCCCAUUACCAUCGAGCUCGGGUGACCGUACGACGCGCCCCACCUUUGCUUCCACCGGACAUCGUGCUUGUCCCCCAUCUCUGCCUCAUGCUCCCGCGGAGGCUCGCCAACGUCGCCGAUGGGGGUGGUGGACAAGCACGGCAGCCACCUUCGGUGAUGGUUUGUGCACCGAUGUCUGCGCGUCGAUCCGUCUCCGCCGUCGGCCACCGUCUCCUCCUCCAGCCAUAGACGCAGAGAGAGAGAGCAAGCAGGGAGGCAGGGGCCAGGGGGAUGGGAUUUGAGAGGGAUUGGUGGAGGAAAGAGAUGACAUAUGGGUCCUAAGAUUUUUUUUAUUUUUAUUUUGCUGACUGGAUGUCACGUUGGCGGCCACGUAUGCAGACACAAGUCAAAAACCAUCCAAAACAGUGCUCAGGGGGGGUUAUUCGUCCGGUAUACAUAGUUUAGGGGGAACGAUGUCUGGUUUUCGAGUUUAGGGGGAUAAUUCGAUCGACCGCUAUAGUUUAAAAGGGUAAUUCGUAUUUUUUUUCCUUUUUAAUACAUAGAGAUGAUUUCUUGGGUUGAGAUGCAUUUUAGUAGUAAUCCGGAGGUGAAUUCCGGUGAAUUUUGAGUAUUUUAUUUACUACUACUACUUCCAGUUCCAGGAUGCAGUCGUCGUCAGGAAACUGGAGAGGACACCGGGCCAAAUUUAGCUAGGCGACGUGGAUGCACCGGCGUGUGGGCUUCAUUUCCGUGAUGCUUAGAAGGCACGGUUUGCCCUCUCUCGCGAUCGCCUGCCUGGCCCGCACGCUGCCCGCGGCCGCCGGCCGGGGGCAUGUCGCGAUCCGAUCCACGUUUCGCGUGCGGUAUACGUGCUCGAUCAGGUUCAGCUCCCACGGCCACGGGCGCGCGAUUGAUUGAUUCACCGGCCGCGUGGCCGCUUCCGGUUAACAUGCGCGCUCAACGCGGUCACGGUCACGGCGCGUGUGUUGUGUUGUGUUGUGUUGUUGCGGAUUUGAGAUUUGCAUGCAGUUGCAAGCCUCGCUCGCUCGUAUUACGGAUGUCGUAUGUGGUGUGUAUGCCUACCCCGAUUCCACGGUGGGUGAGCUGCAAAGUACCCGUAGUUUUCAGUGAAAAAACUCACAUUUAUGCAUGCAUUAUAUCGCUGCCACCUCCUUUAUCCAAUACGAUCGAGUAACAGUCAGGGUUCAGGUUCUUUUUUUAUAAAAAAAAAUCUGUAACUGAUUGAAAACCGUAAAAUUUUUAGGUUUUGACGUAGAACGAAGGCAGAUUCCGAGUAAAAUUUUGGAAUGUUUUCAAGGAUUCAAAUUUUUAACAACAAAUUAAUUUGACCGAAAUUUGACGAAAACCAUCAUAUCGUCGUGAUUAGGAUUAGGCACUAGAUCAAAAGGUGCACCCUGUAUCACAAAUUGUAAAGGAUGAUUUUAUUCCUGAGUAAUGGAAUGCCCUGUUUUUCCCGAAAAAAAAAAGUUGCACCCUGGUGAUUAGGAUUAGGAUUAUGUUGACCGUGCAUGCUCAGGCUUCAACACUCACGAGCUCGCUUGGGUACCCGUGAGUAUAUAUGGUUGUCAAAAUAUAUCAUACGACUUUAUGGUUGUAAUUAAGGAGUCUGAUUCUACGAUAUAGUAGGUAGAAUCAAUGAUGUUAUCAUUUUUAUGUAUACGAUUUUAUGAUUACGAUCCUACUUAGACAAAUCUGAUUCCAAUUUAAGAUUGUGAUUUUAACGACCUUGCAUGUACUACAGAGCUUGCUCCGUCGGUCGGACACAGAUACAGUGACAUUCCCCCGUGACAUUCUCGGUGACAUUGAGUCACUGACAUAUGGCCACAUGUCAGUGACUCAAUAUCACCGAGAAUGUCACGGAGGAAUAUUACCGAAUCCCAAUCCCCAUCGGUCAAUAGGAGACCAACGAGCUCUCACUUUGCUCCUUCAACCAUGUGCCCUCGUGCUCCUUGUCCUUGUUCUCCUGUUGGACUAUGGUCGUCGUCACAUAGCUGCAGCCCCAUCACAUGCCCUUCUUUGCCGAUCUAGUUUAUUUGCCCCCACUUCCGUCGCCGUAGCGGCAUCUAAGGCCUGGUUUAGUUCUCUAAAAUUUUUAUAUAUAUAAGCAUUAAAUAUAAACUUAAAAAAACUAAUUGCACAGAGAAAUCACUUGAUGAAUCUUUUAAACCUAGUCCAUGAGACUACGAUUAGCCAUAAAUGCUACGGUAACCCACAUUUGCUAAUGACAGAAUAAUUAGGCUAAAAAGAUUCGUCUCGCGGUUUCCAGACGAGUUAUGAAAUUAGUUUUUUCAUUCGUGUCCAAAAAUCCCUUCCGUCAUCCGAUCAAACAUCCAAUGUGACAAUUAAAAAAAAUUUCUUUUCGCGAACUAAACAGACCCUAGGCACAACAAGAGUGGAUGAAAUAGAGAUGAGGAGAAGAUCGAGAGAGGGAGUGGCAAAUGACAUGUGGUCCAAUUUGUAGCCAAGUACUAGGUGCAGAACAAGUCAUUAAUUUCAAGUCCUCUCCAAUUAAAAAAAACAAAAGACUAGUUUUUGGCAUGUGUUUUCGCAUGCCCGAACUUUUACGGUGACUAGUGGCAAACACCAUAUUUUUUUUAAGUAUCUAUAACAAAUUUUGGCUAGAAGUUAACUCUAGUUGACCAAUUAACCUGGAAAUUUUGAGAAUACGUUGCGUCAAUAAGCUUGACGAAUAAUUAUAGUGACGUUUUAAUAACAAAAUAUAUCCAACUUGUCAUGAGAUUUCUCGUAGAAAAAAUAAAUUUUGUCAUGACAGAUUGAGAGUUUGAGAUCAGACAGCACAUCGCAUUCAUAACAAACACCAUUAUACUACUACUAUUACAUUAUAGCGAAUGAUAUGCAUUUCAGACAUAUACUGUAGCACGUUUACCACGAGCCUUUCGGUCGCUCGAUAAGCAUCGAUCUGGAUACAGUGAGAAAAUGAACAUGGACACUUUUUCGACGAAACAAUGAUUUUCUUUGGUGACCUUAGCCCAAGGAACUUCUUCAACGUGAUUUUUUUUUCCUUUUGGCAGGGUAUGUAUACAUAUAUAUAGAUUAGUGAGAUGUGACUGGGAAGAGGGCCAGCAAGACAACAGCAAAUUGCUUAAGGGCAUUCUCAAUGUAUAAAAUGCACGCAGAUCAUAAGAUGAGACCCACGAUUAUAUAUGAUCUUUUGCUAAUAGUAUAGUUACAACAAAUAUCUGCUGCUCGUUCUGUUGGUGUUCACGGAAGCGGCGGUGCCUGAAAGCUAACAGCGAAUAGGGCCUCUUGUUCGAUAAUGCAACAGUUACUGUCACAAACUGUUCGAAUUUUACAUACUCAUUACUCUCUCGUCUCAUUAAAAAAAAUGAUCUGUCUCAUUAAAAAAAAUCAACCUAUGAUGAGAUGUGAUGUUUCUAGGUACAAUAAAUCCGAAUAUGCAUAUAUGUUUUCUAAUACAAUACUAGAAAACAUCUUGCCUCAUUCUAGAUUGGUUUUUUAUGGGACAGGGCAGCACUUGUGUAUGUUUGGAUUUUGCAUAUCAUGAUAAUUCAGACUUUAUACCCUCUUGUGCACGUUCAUAACGUUUCAUAUUCUGUAAACAAUUUUAUGAAUUGAACCUGAACGAGAACUAACUUAUUUUUGGGUAUGUUUAGUUCACGCUAAAAUUGGAAGUUUGAUUGAAAUUGGAACGAUGUGAUGGAAAAGUUAAAAAUUUAUGUAUGUAGAAAAGUUUUGAUGUGAUAGAAAAGUUAAAAGUUUGAAGAAAAAGUUGGGAACUAAACCAGGCCAUAUGGAUGUAAACAUAUUCAGAACACAAAUGCCACUAGGCUCAAAAGUCCACAGUGCUAUAGUGUCACACCACAGUAUGUACAGUGAUUGUCUGAUUGAUAGGUUUAGGGAUCUUUUUUUUUUCUAAAAACGUUUAGGGAUCAAAUGUUGCCAAAGCGACCAAAGUAUCACAAUAGACAAACUUGUCACAAUCGGUACAAUGUUGCACGAUAGACUAUGAUGUCUUAGGCCUGAUUUUUUUAAUUAGCUGAAUAAUUUUAUAAUAAUUAUUUGAGAAUACAAACAAAUGCACCAAAACUAUUAGAAAGCAGAAAAAAUAAAUAAAUUCAAAUAUAGAGAGUUUUUUCAAUACUUAUACUGUUUAGAAGCUCAAAAAUAUGUCCCUCUAUUCUUUCAUUCCUUAAAAAAGAAUAUCGAUCCUUAAAAUUAAGGUCGCAUACAUAAUUUGAUAAAUAAAUAUUGUAUCACGUUUCAAUUUGUACUUCGUAUCAUUAAUUAUUGGUAUGGAAACUGUCCAACAAAUGGUGAUUUCUUCAUCAAUAGAUCUAGGGCGAAACCCAGUAAUCAGGUAUGUGGGUCAUCGGUCGUUGGGUGAGGUGAUCCAAACUUGGAAGCAUUUAGUAGAAAUUAAUUAAAAUAUCCACAAGCCAUGCAUGAUAAUUGUAUGAAAAAAUUCCAUGUGUACCUCUAAAAGUUCACCUAAUUCCUUCUACGUUGCUGAAUUUUGUUCAUUUCCUUGCAUACUCUUGAAUCUUGAAUUUUAGUUUGUAUCCAUUCUAUGUCCUUUUAGUUGACUGUCAGUUGGACGUUAAAUUCUCGUGUAAAAGUCCAUUUUUACCCUUUACUAUCAAGAAACAUAAUAAAUUAAUGGAGUAUAUUGUUUGAGUGUAGAAAUUUGUUCAGUGUGACUAUUAUAUUUAUGAGUUUGUUAUGCACCAUAUUAUUUGUGACAUAAUUACUUUUAGAUAUGAUAUAAAAAAUUUAAUAUUUAUUUAUUAGUUAUUAAAAGUUGGUUUAUGUAGUAUAUUUGUUUUGAUAGUAAUAUAACAUAUUUGUUGUAUAAGACAAAUAUAUUUAUAUGCUACAUAAGCAACUUUUAAUAACUAAUAAAUAAGUAAUUGAUUUUUUAUUUCAAUAUCUCAAAGUAAUUUAUCGCAAAUAAUAUAGUGCAUAACUAACUCAUAAAUAUAAUAGUCUCAUCUAACAAUUCUACACUCCAACGAUGUACUCUAUUAAUCUAUAUUUUUUUCAUAGCAAAGAGUAAAACGGAAUUAUUCAUAAGAAAUUAACGGUCAACUAGCGGAAAGGGCAUAGAAGAGAACCAAACUAAAAUUCAGAUAUAUGUAAAGGACGUAGAAAGGAUUAGGCGAACUUUCAAGAUACGUACAUAAUGAAUUUUCAGGGGUACAUAGUGAUAAAUUUGCAACACCUUGCGUUUUCGUUCUCACAACGCAGAAAGUUCAGACCUAAUGUUAUAGUCAUCAGGGCUAUCAUCCUAUUUAAACUACUAUAUCUCCAGCCAAACCACGGAUAUGGUACUAAGGCUCCGUUCAAACAGUACAUGAUUAAUUGAAUAUUAUCUAUUAUAAAUUUGAUAAACUGAUUUAUUUAUUAAUCUUUAGAAAAAGGUUCUAUAUAGAAAUCUUUUCACAAAAUAUAUCACUUAGCAUUUUGACAAAGUGUUAUCAAAAAUAAAAAAAAGUUAUCGUUUAAAGUUACGGAAAAGAACUCAGCCUAAAAGCUAGCUACAGCAUGCCAGCAGCUGUUGGCUGCUGCCUUUGCUGCCGUAACGUAAGCUCUAAGCACCACCGCUGCUUGCUCGCCAUGGACCAAGCAAGGCCCAAUGCCGACCACUACGCUAGCUAGCCUGCUUUGCUAGGCCCACAAGCAAAGAAACCAGCCCACUACCUUUUUCUCUUAUCUCUUUUUUUUUUCAUCAAUCAAUUAUUCCGGGACGUUACAUCGGUAUCAUGGCCUCAUGGGAACUAUUCUCCUUAAAUCCUUGAGUAUUCUAAAACUUGAGAAAUAUUCAACCGUGUUUGUUUGGAUGCACCACAAAAGGAAUGGUUUUUUUAGAUCCACAAAAGAAAUGGUACAGGACUUUGGAAGAAUUAUAGAUAGAGAUUUUCUUUCACAAGGUUAUCUCUCUCAUGUCAGAAAUCUACUUAGAAACCUACUGUAUUAAUUUAUUUUGCGAAAAAAAUAUUAGGACCAAAAAAGCACGGGUUACAUCGGAAAAAUUAUGUUACUAAGUUUUUUUAAAUAGAAAGUUCAAUUUUACUCUCCCGAAUUAUUUCAUUGGAGUACUUCACUCCUAAGCAAUUUUUUGGGUUAUUUUACACCCCAAACUAUUUAAAACGGUUCAACUGACCCCCUAUCUGUAUUUCUAUUUUUUCCCUCUCUAUAUAUGUCGUAUUUUAUACUAAAUCUAAAAGGAUCGACAGAUGCAUUAUAACUUAUCUCUCAAUAUUUUUUGAAUUUUUUUUAUCAUUGUUUACAUAGGUUGGAAACACUAGAACAUAUUUAAACAUCGAGGUUUUAAGUUUAAAGAAAGUAGUUAUGAAAAUAUUUUAGAACUUUAAUAAUAGUGCCAUCUCUGCCUUAAGAAGUUUAGCUUAAAAUACAGCUUGUAUAAAAGAGAAAUAAAGAA